rnacentral:misc_RNA from 1 species
UACGAAGGGUGCAAGCGUUAGUCGGAAUUACUGGGCGUAAAGCGCGCGUAGGCGGUUUGGUCAGUUGGAUGUGGAAGCCCAGGGCUUAACCUUGGAACUGCAUCCAAUACUGCCAGGCUAGAGUACGGGAGAGGGGGGUGGAAUUCCACGUGUAGCGGGGAAAUGCGUAGAGAUGUGGAGGAAUACCAGUGGCGAAGGCGGCCCCCUGGAUCGAUACUGACGCUGAGGUGCGAAAGCGUGGGGAGCAAACAGG